GGAUGGACCCGCGUCUGAUUAGCUAGUUGGUAAGGUAACGGCUUACCAAGGCGACGAUCAGUAGCCGACCUGAGAGGGUGAUCGGCCACAUUGGAACUGAGACACGGUCCAAACUCCUACGGGAGGCAGCAGUGGGGAAUAUUGCACAAUGGGCGAAAGCCUGAUGCAGCAACGCCGCGUGAGUGAUGAAGGCCUUCGGGUCGUAAAACUCUGUCCUCAAGGAAGAUAAUGACGGUACUUGAGGAGGAAGCCCCGGCUAACUACGUGCCAGCAGCCGCGGUAAUACGUAGGGGGCUAGCGUUAUCCGGAUUUACUGGGCGUAAAGGGUGCGUAGGCGGUCUUUCAAGUCAGGAGUGAAAGGCUACGGCUCAACCGUAGUAAGCUCUUGAAACUGGGAGACUUGAGUGCAGGAGAGGAGAGUGGAAUUCCUAGUGUAGCGGUGAAAUGCGUAGAUAUUAGGAGGAACACCAGUUGCGAAGGCGGCUCUCUGGACUGUAACUGACGCUGAGGCACGAAAGCGUGGGGAGCAAACAGGAUUAGAUACCCUGGUAGUCCACGCUGUAAACGAUGAGUAC
rnacentral:rRNA from 1 species